UUGCUUUAGCAGCACAUAUUAUAAAAUUGAAAUGAUGCAGAAAAAAUUAGUAUGAACUCUUGUGCAAGGACGACGUGCAAAUGCACAAAACAUUCCAUUUUCUA